rnacentral:rRNA from 1 species
GACGGAGGAUGCAAGCGUUAUCCGGAAUGAUUGGGCGUAAAGCGUCCGCAGGUGGCAGUUCAAGUCUGUUGUCAAAGACCGGGGCUUAACUUCGGAAGGGCAGUGGAAACUGAACAGCUAGAGUAUGGUAGGGGCAGAGGGAAUUCCUGGUGUAGCGGUGAAAUGCGUAGAGAUCGGGAAGAACAUCGGUGGCGAAAGCGCUCUACUGGACCGCAACUGACACUCAGGGACGAAAGCUAGGGGAGCGAAUGGG